GAUUAAUAUCUCUUACACAAUAACUUAAACAUAGUAACAAUAUCAAAGAAUAAGUUAACUAAAUGAAAUACUAUAAGGAAAAUUAUAAAAUAUUUAGGCAUCUACUCGCCAUCUUCCUGCGGAAUAAGCUCUAAAAUCAAGUCAUCCUGAUCUGAAAUUGUUAAGUAAGGAAUGAGCUACACUAACCCAGUAAGGAUGUCAUACUAUAUCACUGUCACAGAAAUAAAGGUUGGUAGAAAAACAAAAAUAACCAAUGGAGCAAAAAUUUUUUUAAACAAUUUUAUUUAUCAAUAAUCAAACCAUUUACCAUCCACUUAUUUCGGUGGAAUUUAUAAAACGACCGACAAAAAUAAUAACUUCAUAGAUAUCAUGAAUUUAUACAUACUCGGUAACAUAAUAUUUGUCAUACUUUAUAUAUCAAUCAUCAAAUAACAAUUGCCAUCUUUUAUCAGCCUACUAGUAUCCAUGGAGAUCCAUAGGGGUCCCCGCUACACGUGAACCAUUCACUUUAACAAACUUAGUUCCAGGACCGUUCCCUUACCCCGUCCGGUAUGAGGUGAAGCGGGUCGUCCCCAUACCCCNNNNNNNNNNNNNNNNNNNNNNNNNNNNNNNNNNNNNNNNNNNNNNNNNNNACCGUGCUCCGGCGACCUUUACAAAAUAAUAAUAAUAAUAAUAAUAAUAAUAAUAAUAAUAAAUAUUUUUGGGUGUUACAACUCUCCUCCCCUUAAAGAAAUUUGGUCCCUCAAAUUUGCCCCUUAUUCUUGAUCGAACAACUGGGGGUAUGGGGCUCUAAGGUCUGAUUCUAGCUCCCAUGUAGCCUCCCUCGGCAUGUGGUUCUGUCAUACGACCUUUACAAAGGAUAUUUUUCGGUUGCGGAGUAAUCUACUCUUUCGGUCCGUAAUACCAAUUGGUACUUCCUCAUAAGAUAAGUUCUCCUAAAGUGGAAGCGGUUCAUGAGCCAAGACAUGAGAGGGGUCCGGGUUGUACUUGCGUAGCAUGGAUACAUGGAACACAUUAUAUACCUUGGAGAGUUUUGGAGGCAGUGCUAGUCUGUAGGCGGCAAUACCGAUCCUGUCUAAGACUUCAAAUGGUCUAAUAAAUUGAGAGUUCAGUUUUUCCCUCAUGCAGAACCUAUUAAUUCCCUUGAAAGGAGUGACCUUAAGGAACACUCGGUCAUCUUUUUCAAACGCUAAAUCUCUCCUCCGGGUGUCCGCAUAACUCUUCUGCCUGCUCUGAGCCGUCUGAAUGUUCUUUUUGAUUUUAACUAUCUUAAAUGUGGUCUUCUCUACCAGCUCUAGGCUGAAUAAUUUUCUAUCGCCCACUUCUUCUCAACAAAUCGGCGAUCUGCAUGGGCGUCCAUAUAACGCCUCAUACGGAGCCAUGCCAAUGCUCGCUUAGUAGCUGUUGUUGUAGGCAAAUUCUAUCAGGGGCAGAUGGUCGUCCCAAUGGCCCCCAGAGUCAAGGACACAAGCUUGGAGCAUAUCUUCAAGUGUACGGAUUGUUCUUUCUGAUUGUCCAUCAGUCUGAGGAUGGAAAGCAGUACUGAGGGACAGCUUUGUUCCCAUGGCUUGCUGAAAGCUACUCCAAAACUGAGAGGUGAACUUGGGGUCCCUGUCGGAUACCACUGUCACUGGAAUUCCAUGCAAUCUAACUAUUUUCUGGAUAUACAUUCUUACUAACUUGUCUAAGGGAUCGGUCAUCCUAAUGGCUAAGAAGUGGGAAGACUUGGUAAGCCGGUCAAUAAUUACCUCGAUGACAUCAUGUCCUGAGCGUGCAUUGGGUAAUCCUGUUACGAAGUCCAUGGUGAUAUAUUCCCACUUCCACUCCGGAAUAGGUAAAUGCUGAAAUAACCCACAUGGGCGCUGAGGCUCUGCCUUGACCUGCAGACAUACCAAGUAUUUAGACACAAAGUCAGCUAUAUCCCUCUUCAUCUUAUUCCACCAAAAUCGAGGUCGCAUGCUUUGGUAUAUUUUGGUGCUUCCGGGGUACAUGGCAAACUUCAAGCUAUGGGCCUCUGUCAUAAUGUCUCUUUUCAACUCGCUGUUGCUUGGGACACAUACUCUGUCUUGGAAUCGGAGUAACCCAUCGGCAGAGACUCGAAAUUCUGAGCUAAUUCCCUGUUCUGCAUCACUCUUGCGGGCUACUAGGGCGGGGUUGACUGACUGGGCUUCCCUGAUUCUCUGGAUUAACUCGGGCUGGACGGUCAGAUAACAUGUGACUCUCUUCAAGUCCUGAAGUCAAACAUGUUGUGUGGCCCAAAUUUGCCUGCAUUAUGAAACCAUCAAAUGGGCUAAGAUACCUGUAUUUUUCCUGCUGAGAGCAUCUGCCACCACGUUGCCCUUACCCGGAUGGUACAAGAUAUCACAAUCAUAGUCUUUAAGGAGUUCCAUCCACAUUCUCUGACGCAUGUUGAGAUCCUUUUGAGUGAAUAUGUUUUUCAAACUCUUAUGAUCGGUAUAGAUCUGAAAGGUCUCUCCGUAUAAAUAAUGGCACCAGAUUUUCAGGGCGUGUAUGAUUGCGGUAAGCUCUAAGUCAUGGGUGAGAUAAUUUUUCUCAUGAUUCUUUAACUGUCUGGACCCAUAGGCUAUGAUCUUCCCAUGCUGCAUUAAAACACAACCUAUGCCUAGAUAAGAGGCAUCAUUGUAAAUUGUAUAUCCCCUUGAUCCACUCGGUAAGGCCAGCAUGGGUGCAAUGGUCAGUCGCUUCUUUAAUUCUGAAAAACUUCUUUCACAGUCCUCAUUCCACUCAAACUUAGCAUUCUUUUUUGUGAGUCGGGUUAGGGGAGCCGCUAGACUAGAAAAUCCUUCGACGAAUCUGCAGUAAUAACCUGUCAUUCCCAGGAAGCUACAGAUUUCUUUAACUGAUGUCAAUUUCUCCCAGCCUAGUACCGCUUCAACCUUUUUAGGAUUCACUGAUACUCCCUCCUUUGAUAUAAUGUGUCUUAGGAAGCGGUCUGCUCUAGCCAGAAUUCACACUUACUCAACUUGGCAUACAACUUCUUUCUUAUGAGAACCUACAAAACCUGGGUUAGAUGAUGAGCAUGUUCUUCUCUGCUUUUUGAGUAGACCAGGAUGUUAUCGAUGAAUAUGAUAACAAAUUGAUCCAAGAAUUCUCUGAAGACCCUGUUCAUAAGAUCCAUGAAAAUGGUUGGGGCGUUGGUUAGCCCAAAUGGCAUGACCAGGAACUUAUAGUGUCCGUACCUAGUUUGAAAAGCCGUUUUGGAGAUGUCUUCUGCCCUUAUUUUCACCUGAUAGUAAUCUGAUCGCAGGUCUAUUUUGGAGAAGACCUGCGCACCCUGCAACUGAUCGAAGAGCUCAUCAAUUCUGGGAAGGGGAUAUUUGUUCUUGAUUGUGACAUUGUUCAAUCCUCUGUAAUUAAUACAUAGUCUUAGUGUUUCAUCUCCCUUCCUGGCAAAAGUGACUCCAGCACCCCAAUGGGACACACUGUGUCUAAUAAAACUACUGUCUUGUAAUUCAGUGACCUGUUUCUUCAGCUCAUCCAUCUCAACGCGGCUCAUGCGGUAAGGAGCAAUCGAAAUGGGCUGGGUGCCUGGUUGUAGGUCUAUGGUGAACUCGACUUUCCUGUCCACUGGCAAUCCGGGUAGUUCGUCCGAAAACACAUAUGAAAAGUUUCGGACUACUGGAAUCUCUUGAAUAUAAUUCUCUUUCUUGAGUUUGCCUAGUUAGAGAAAAUAGCAAGGUUAAGGUACUUGACAAUUAAGAAAACUUGCCAUCAAGGAAUAAGUACUAAAUGAUUUUAUUAAUUUGUAAAUGGCUCCUCAUUAGGAGGAUUAAAUACAACCUUCUUGCUAAAGCAAUCUAUGGUGGCAUGAUACACCGCUAACCAAUCCAUCCCUAAUAUUACAUAAAAUCCCCUGUGUCUAAUUCUAUUAGGUCUACACUCAGUUUUCUAUUAGCUAUCUCUACGGCACAAGCCCUGUAGACAACUUCUCCCAAUAGUGUUUCCCUCCCCCAGCAGUAAAUACAAAUAACAUUGAAUCAAGUUUAUCAGGUAAUACAUUAAAUUUGGAUGCAAAAACAGGUUAAACAAAUGAAUGCGAUGCAUCAGUGUCAAACAAAACAUGAGCAAUAUGAUUACAGAUAGUGUACAUACCCUGUACCACGUUCGAGUUGGCAUCAGCAUCCUGCUGGAUGAGGUUGUAAACCCUGCCCUAGAUAGGAGGUCUUCCCUGAUUCUGGUUCCUCGGGCACUCUCUCGCAUAGUGCUAGACACUUCCACAUAUGCAACAGGUGUUGUUGAAGCGGUAGCAUGGUCGGUCCCCGUGAUCCCUGCCGCAGUGCUGACAGAUCUUACCACGUACUGCCACUGGAGCCUAAGGGGGAGCCUGGAUCAUCGGCCUGGGCCUCUUAUUUUGUUGGACAAGCGCAGUAGGUGCUGGUCUGCGGGGUGGAGCUGAGGGUCUGUGGUUCCCUGCUGACUGAGGAAGGGUGUGGAGGCUCCUCUCCACUAAUUGUGCCUUUGCCAGAAUGGCUGAGUAUGUCUUGAGCUCCAGUACAAAUAAAUGUUGAUUGAUCUCUGGGCGGAGGCCCCACUGGAACCUCCUAGCCUUCUUGCCCUCAUCCAUCAACGUCUCAGGGGAGUAUCGGCCCAACUCCAGGAACUUACGAGCAUAUUCUGACACCGUCAUGCUUCCCUGGACUAACUGGACAAACUCCAUCUCCUUUAGAUAUCGGAUGUGCUCUGGGAGGUACUCCGCAUGAAAGGCUGCUAAGAACUGUUCCCAAGUGACUGGAACAGGCAGGGUGGUCUGCUUGAGUUCCCACCAACGAUCUGCUUCUCCCACUAGAAUGUAGGUAGCAAGGGUGACAUUCUGCUCAGGAACCACUCCUAAGGUCUUGAAAGCCUUCUCCAUCUUUGCCAACCAGUACUGGGCAUCUUCAAAAGAGGAUUCCCCUACAAAAGUGGAAGGGUUCAGUCUCCUGUACCUCUCUACGUAGCUCGGGUCAAUCAAAGAUGGAGCUGGGUCCCGCGGAAGAGAGACUAGGCCAAACUGAGGAUAGAUUGGGGGGCCCUGUGGUGGUACUUGCUGAUAUAGUGGGGGCACUGGAUUAUACUGUGGCGGUGUCAGGCAGUACUGUGGCUGGGGCACCGAAUUAUACUGCGGCGGUGGUACCGGGUGGUACUGUGGAGGAGUAGGCUCGUACCGGGGUGGCUCGAGAUCUUCUCACUGCAGCGGUGGCUCAACUUGUGAUAGUGGGGGAGGGUAGCUCCCUUCUCUCCUUUCGGCCUUACUGGGCAGCAAUGAGUCUUUCCAGCAUCUCAAAUAUUAUGUCAACAUCUUUCCGAAGCAAACCAUCCCAGGCUGCUCGGUUUAGUGGGGGUCUUCCUCUCCUCAUCCCUCUGCACCUGCAUUUCACAAGGAAGGGUUGAGUAACGAUUCUUUGGUUUGAUACCAACUGUAACGGCCCCGAAAAUUUAAAAGGAAAUGUAUAUAAAAAAUCUGAAUGCGGAAGCGAAAUAAAAAGUUCUGAUUAAUAUCCCUUAUAAAAUAACUUAAAUGUACUAACAAUAUCAAAGAAUAAGUUAACUAAAUGAAAUACUAUAAGGAAAACUAUAAAAUAUUUAGGUAUCUACUCGCCGUCUUCCUGCGGAAUGGGCUCGGGAACCAAGUCCUCCUGAUCUGAAAUCGUUAAGUAAGGAAUGAGGUACACUAGUCCAGUAAAGAUGUCAAAGUAUAUCACUGUCACAGAAAUAAAUGUUGGUAGAAAAACAAAAACAACCAAUGGAGCAAAAAGUUUUUAAACAAUUUCAUUUAUCAAUAAUCAAACCAUUUACCGUCCACUUACCUCGAUGAGAUUUAUAAAACGACCUAUAGAAACAAUAACAUCAUAGAUAUCAUGAAUUCAUACAUACUCGGUAACAUAGCACAUGUCAUACUUUAUAUAUCAAUCAUCAAACAACAAUUGCCCUAUUUUAUCAGCCUACUAGUAUCCAUGGGGAUCCAUAGGGGUCCCCGCUAUACGUGAACCAUUCACUUUAACAAACUUAGUUCCAGGGCCGUCCCCACACCUCGUCCGAUACAUGCGCCAAAACAAUGAACCUCAAUACCCCGUCCGGUAUAAGGGUGAAGUGGGUCGUCC
rnacentral:lncRNA from 1 species